rnacentral:rRNA from 1 species
GAUGAACGCUGGCGGCGUGCCUAAUACAUGCAAGUCGAGCGAACAGACGAGGAGCUUGCUCCUCGGACGUUAGCGGCGGACGGGAGAGGAACACGUGGAGAACCUAGCUAUAAGACUGGGAUAACUUCGGGAAACCGGAGCUAAUACCGGCUAAUAUAUGGAAGGGCAUGGUUCAAUAGUGAAAGACGGUUUUGCUGUCACUGCUAGAUGGAUCCGCGCCGCAUGAGCGAGUUGGUAAGGUAACGGCUUACCAAGGCAACGAUGUGUAGCCGACCUGAGAGGGCGAUCGGCCACCCUGGUACUGAGACACGGUCCAGACUCCUACGGGAGGCACCAGUCGGGCAUCUUCCGCAGUGGGCGGUAGCUUGACGGACGCAAGCCGCGGGAGUGAGGAGGGGCUUCGCAUCGUAAAGCUCUGCUACCAGGGAGUAACAAAUGUCUAACGAACCCUACAAAUUUUGACGGUACCGAUACAGGAAGCCCCGGCCAACUACGUG